AGCUCCAGUAGCAUAUAUUAAAGUUGUUGCAGUUAAAAAGCUCGUAGUUGGAUUUCUGGUAUGAUGCGCCUUGUCCGCAGCGAAUACGCUUGUGAGUACUGGAGCGCGUCUGCCAUCCUUCCGGGGACCGUCUCUACCUUUCACUAGGCUGGAGUCGUGAUCCGGAUCGUUUACUUUGAAAAAUUAGAGUGUUCAAAGCAGGCCUUUGCUGUGAAUACAUUAGCAUGGAAUAAUGAUCUAGGACUUCGGUUCUAUUUUGUUGGUUUCUAGCACUGGAGUAAUGAUUGAUAGGGAUAGUUGGGGGUNCUAGUA
rnacentral:rRNA from 1 species